GUGCUCACUUUGGCAGCACAUAUACUAAAGUUGGAACAAUACAGAGAAGAUUACCAUGGCCCCUGCACAAAACUGACACAAAUUCGUGAAGUGUUCCGUAUUUUU
ensembl:snRNA U6 U6 spliceosomal RNA